rnacentral:rRNA from 1 species
GUGAACGCUGGCGGUAGGCCUAACACAUGCAAGUCGAACGGCAGCACAGUAAGAGCUUGCUCUUACGGGUGGCGAGUGGCGGACGGGUGAGGAAUACAUCGGAAUCUACUUUUUCGUGGGGGAUAACGUAGGGAAACUUACGCUAAUACCGCAUACGACCUACGGGUGAAAGCAGGGGAUCUUCGGACCUUGCGCGAUUGAAUGAGCCGAUGUCGGAUUAGCUAGUUGGCGGGGUAAAGGCCAACCAAGGCGACGAUCCGUAGCUGGUCUGAGAGGAUGAUCAGCCACACUGGAACUGAGACACGGUCCAGACUCCUACGGGAGGCAGCAGUGGGGAAUAUUGGACAAUGGGCGCAAGCCUGAUCCAGCCAUACCGCGUGGGUGAAGAAGGCCUUCGGGUUGUAAAGCCCUUUUGUUGGGAAAGAAAAGCAGCAGGUUAAUACCCCGCUGUUCUGACGGUACCCAAAGAAUAAGCACCGGCUAACUUCGUG